rnacentral:rRNA from 1 species
UGAAUUGCAGAAUUCAGUGAAUCAUCGAAUCUUUGAACGCAUCUUGCGCUCCUUGGUAUUCCGAGGAGCAUGCCUGUUUGAGUGUCAUUA